rnacentral:rRNA from 1 species
UACGGGGGGGGCAAGCGUUGUUCGGAAUUACUGGGCGUAAAGGGCUCGUAGGUGGCCAACUAAGUCAGACGUGAAAUCCCUCGGCUUAACCGGGGAACUGCGUCUGAUACUGGAUGGCUUGAGUUUGGGAGAGGGAUGCGGAAUUCCAGGUGUAGCGGUGAAAUGCGUAGAUAUCAUUUGGAACGCCAAUGGUGAAAACAGGUAGCUGGGAGUGUGCUGACGCUGAGACACGAAAGCCAGGGGAGCGAACGGG